rnacentral:sRNA from 1 species
AAGCUUUUGAUACGGCACUACUAGCCCGGAAAAUAAAAUAUUUAAAGUCACUUUGUGAAGUUUAAGGAGUAUAGAUGAUGGGAAAACCAUUCAACUGAUGACGUUCCGCCAAAUUUUGAAAGGAGGCCAAUAUUCAAAAUGAGGAGGAACACCGAUAAAAGAAAAUAAGUGGGCUAAACUGAAGCGAAGGAUUAUUGGUACCACCGCCUUGGGUGACUUUACUUUGAUGACUGCUACUGGAGAUGUGAAUGUUAGAAUUUUAAAUGUAAGUUUAAGUGAGCCAAGAGAAGAGCAUUAUAUAAAGUUGAAAAUCC